ACUGACCUCUGUUGGACCUGUUGGAGAUCAACUCCAGUGCAGGGUAGGCAUGUCGGGACUGGAUAAACGCUGAAGGCAUCUAAGCGUGAAGCCACCCUCAAGAUGAGAUAUCCCAUCGUUAAGAGUAAGACCCCUUGAAGACUACGAGGUAGAUAGGGCUAAGCUGUAAGUGCUGUAAAGCAUUCAGGUGAUAGUUACUAAUAGGUCGAGGGCUUGUCCAA
rnacentral:rRNA from 1 species